AUGACGCAACCCACUCAGGGCGGAGCUAAUCCGAAUGUACCGCAUCGUCAGCUCGAGGACAGGUCCGGGGACGAGGGCGAAGCAGAGGAGGUCGUGCAAGAGGCCUUGCAACUAGGGUCCGAGGAAGUAGAGGCCGAGGACGGGGUGGUCGAAGUGCAGGGCAAGGAGCACUUGAGUUCCCUCAGUUCUCACCAUCGCUGGAAAGCCACGCCGAUAUUAACUCGCAUUGUAUCACUGUGGUACACAUUCGGUGGAGGAACUAAACUGGUGCUCGCUGGUCCCACAGUGAAGCCCUCAGUGUCUCUGCUGCCACCCUCUUCUCUGCAGAUCUCUGGAGACUCAGCCGCACUGCUCUGCCUGCUCAGCUCUUACUCUCCACAGGGGGCGCUGGUGAGCUGGACACUGGACGGCUCAGAGGUCACCGAGGGGGUUGUGACCAGCGCAGAGAGUGAGCAGGACGGCCGCUACAGCCGCAGUAGUGUCCUGACCCUCAGCACAGCACGCUGGGAAGCGGGAGAGCAGUACGUCUGCAGAGUAACACAUGAUGGAGCUCCUCAUGAAGCCUCGUUCCACAAGAGUCGCUGUUAGUCGCUCGCAGUGCUGAUGUUUCUCCAGUGAGCGCUGCUCUCUCCUGAAGAUGAGAGUAUCUGAGUGUCCUGUGUCAGGCAGGAUUCACAUGAGUCUAGUGCUGCAGCUGUAGUCAUUUACAACUCAAUACUGAAAGAGAGCUCUAGUGUCAAAGCACUGGCUGAUCUUUCAAUCUGCUGUGUUUGCUGCAACAUUCAAUAAAGCUUCUCAACAAACUCC